rnacentral:rRNA from 1 species
CCUACGGGAGGCAGCAGUAGGGAAUCUUCGGCAAUGGGGGCAACCCUGACCGAGCAACGCCGCGUGAGUGAAGAAGGUUUUCGGAUCGUAAAGCUCUGUUGUAAGUCAAGAACGGGUGUGAGAGUGGAAAGUUCACACUAUGACGGUAGCUUACCAGAAAGGGACGGCUAACUACGUGCCAGCAGCCGCGGUAAUACGUAGGUCCCGAGCGUUGUCCGGAUUUAUUGGGCGUAAAGCGAGCGCAGGCGGUUUGAUAAGUCUGAAGUUAAAGGCUGUGGCUCAACCAUAGUUCGCUUUGGAAACUGUCAAACUUGAGUGCAGAAGGGGAGAGUGGAAUUCCAUGUGUAGCGGUGAAAUGCGUAGAUAUAUGGAGGAACACCGGUGGCGAAAGCGGCUCUCUGGUCUGUAACUGACGCUGAGGCUCGAAAGCGUGGGGAGCGAACAGGAUUAGAUACCCUGGUAGUCCACGCCGUAAACGAUGAGUGCUAGGUGUUGGAUCCUUUCCGGGAUUCAGUGCCGCAGCUAACGCAUUAAGCACUCCGCCUGGGGAGUACGACCGCAAGGUUGAAACUCAAAUGAAAUUGACGG